GAUGAACGCUGGCGGCGUGCCUAAUACAUGCAAGUCGAGCGAACGGACGAGAAGCUUGCUUCUCUGAUGUUAGCGGCGGACGGGUGAGUAACACGUGGAUAACCUACCUAUAAGACUGGGAUAACUUCGGGAAACCGGAGCUAAUACCGGAUAAUAUUUUGAACCGCAUGGUUCAAAAGUGAAAGACGGUCUUGCUGUCACUUAUAGAUGGAUCCGCGCUGCAUUAGCUAGUUGGUAAGGUAACGGCUUACCAAGGCAACGAUGCAUAGCCGACCUGAGAGGGUGAUCGGCCACACUGGAACUGAGACACGGUCCAGACUCCUACGGGAGGCAGCAGUAGGGAAUCUUCCGCAAUGGGCGAAAGCCUGACGGAGCAACGCCGCGUGAGUGAUGAAGGUCUUCGGAUCGUAAAACUCUGUUAUUAGGGAAGAACAUAUGUGUAAGUAACUGUGCACAUCUUGACGGUACCUAAUCAGAAAGCCACGGCUAACUACGUGCCAGCAGCCGCGGUAAUACGUAGGUGGCAAGCGUUAUCCGGAAUUAUUGGGCGUAAAGCGCGCGUAGGCGGUUUUUUAAGUCUGAUGUGAAAGCCCGCGGCUCAACCGUGGAGGGUCAUUGGAAACUGGAAAACUUGAGUGCAGAAGAGGAAAGUGGAAUUCCAUGUGUGGCGGUGAAAUGCGCAGAGAUAUGGAGGAACACCAGUGGCGAAGGCGACUUUCUGGUCUGUAACUGACGCUGAUGUGCGAAAGCGUGGGGAUCAAACAGGAUUAGAUACCCUGGUAGUCCACGCCGUAAACGAUGAGUGCUAAGUGUUAGGGGGUUUCCGCCCCUUAGUGCUGCAGCUAACGCAUUAAGCACUCCGCCUGGGGAGUACGACCGCAAGGUUGAAACUCAAAGGAAUUGACGGGGACCCGCACAAGCGGUGGAGCAUGUGGUUUAAUUCGAAGCAACGCGAAGAACCUUACCAAAUCUUGACAUCCUUUGACAACUCUAGAGAUAGAGCUUUCCCCUUCGGGGGACAAAGUGACAGGUGGUGCAUGGUUGUCGUCAGCUCGUGUCGUGAGAUGUUGGGUUAAGUCCCGCAACGAGCGCAACCCUUAAGCUUAGUUGCCAUCAUUAAGUUGGGCACUCUAAGUUGACUGCCGGUGACAAACCGGAGGAAGGUGGGGAUGACGUCAAAUCAUCAUGCCCCUUAUGAUUUGGGCUACACACGUGCUACAAUGGACAAUACAAAGGGCAGCGAAACCGUGAGGUCAAGCAAAUCCCAUAAAGUUGUUCUCAGUUCGGAUUGUAGUCUGCAACUCGACUACAUGAAGCUGGAAUCGCUAGUAAUCGUAGAUCAGCAUGCUACGGUGAAUACGUUCCCGGGUCU
rnacentral:rRNA from 1 species